GGAGCUGUGCCUGAGUAUUAAGGACCACUUUGAUAGAGUGUAACAUGGGGGUUAAAAUCCCCCCAACUCCU
rnacentral:tRNA from 1 species